rnacentral:rRNA from 1 species
GCCAGCACUUCGGGUGGGAACUCCAGGGAGACUGCCGGUGAUAAACCGGAGGAAGGUGGGGACGACGUCAAGUCAUCAUGGCCCUUACGAGUAGGGCUACACACGUGCUACAAUGGCGCAUACAGAGGGCGGCCAACUUGCGAGAGUGAGCGAAUCCCAAAAAGUGCGUCGUAGUCCGGAUCGGAGUCUGCAACUCGACUCCGUGAAGUCGGAAUCGCUAGUAAUCGUGGAUCAGAAUGCCACGGUGAAUACGUUCCCGGGCCUUGUACACACCGCCCGUCACACCAUGGGAGUGGGCUGCUAAAAGAAGUAGGUAGUAUAAC